rnacentral:rRNA from 1 species
AACGCGAAGAACCUUACCUGGGUUUGGCAUCUCCUGAACGCCGUAGAGAUACGGAAGGCCCGAAAGGGACAGGAAGACAGGUGCUGCAUGGCUGUCGUCAGCUCGUGUCGUGAGAUGUUGGGUUAAGUCCCGCAACGAGCGCAACCCUUAUCUUUAGUUGCCAGCAUUAAGUUGGGCACUCUAAAGAGACUGCCAACGUUAAGUUGGAGGAAGGCGGGGAUGACGUCAAGUCCUCAUGGCCUUUAUAUCCAGGGCAACACACGUUCUACAAUGGCCGGUACAAAGCGCAGCGAAAUCGCGAGAUGGAGCCAACCGCAAAAAACCGGUCUAAAGUUCAGAUUGGAGUCUGCAACUCGACUCCAUGAAGUUGGAAUCGCUAGUAAUCGCGGAUCAGAAUGCCGCGGUGAAUACGUUCCCGGGCCUUGUACACACCGGCUAC